rnacentral:tRNA from 2 species
AGCUCAGUCGGUAGAGCAGAGGAUUGAAAAUCCUCGUGUCGGUGGUUCGAUUCCGCCA